GAAUUUCUACGAUCUGCUGAGAUUCAGCCCGUCUCCUUAGAUUUAUCUCAUCUCCCUUUA
rnacentral:rRNA from 1 species